rnacentral:rRNA from 1 species
GACGAACGCUGGCGGCGUGCCUAAUACAUGCAAGUAGGACGCAGUUGCGAACGGGUGCGUAACGCGUAGGUAACUACCUAUUAGAGGGGGAUAACUAUUGGAAACGAUAGCUAAUACCGCCUACUAGUAGAUGGACCUGCGUUGUAUUAGCUAGUAGGUAGGGUAAUGGCAUACCUAGGCAACGAUCCAUAGCCGACCUGGGAGGGUGAUCGGCCAAACGGGGACUGAGAGACGGCCCAGACUACUACGGGAGGCAGCAGUAGUGAAUCUUCGGAAAUGGGGGGAACCGUGACCGGGCAACGCCGCGGGAGUGAAGAAGGUUUUCGGAUCGUAAAGCUCGGUUGUUAAGGAAGCGGUACUUAACCAGAAAGGGGCGGCUAACUUCGUGCCAGCAGCCGCGGUAAUAC